rnacentral:rRNA from 1 species
AGAGAGAGACAUGCGCGCAUAUCAAUAAGCGGAGGAAAAGAAACUAACUAGGAUUCCCUCAGUAACGGCGAGUGAAGCGGGAAGAGCUCAAAUUUGAAAUCUUCAAGGUUCUACCUUGACGAAUUGUAGUUUAAAGAAGUGUUUUCUGUUGGAGUUUUGGUAAAAGUUCUUUGGAAUAGGACAUCAUAGAGGGUGAGAAUCCCGUAUUUGACCAUUAUUUCCAGCUUUGUGAUACACUUUCAAAGAGUCGGAUUGUUUGGGAAUGCAGUCCAAAAUGGGUGGUGAAUUUCAUCUAAAGCUAAAUAUUGGCGAGAGACCGAUAGCGAACAAGUACCGUGAGGGAAAGAUGAAAAGAACUUUGAAAAGAGAGUUAAACAGUACGUGAAAUUGUCAAAAGGGAAGCGUUUGACACCAGUGUUGUUUUCUCGAAAAUCAAUUAAAAAAGGCAGGAUUUUGUGUUGUAUUGACUUUAUCAGCUUUCUGCACUCUUUUCUUGUCUUUUUUAAUGCACUUUUCGUUUAACAAGUCAACAUCAAUUUCUUUUGUUGUAAAAGGGUCAUUGGAAGGUGGCUUUCUUUUCGGAGAAAGUGUUUAUAGCCCUUGGCCUCUGCAAUCGGAGAGAUUGAGGUCUGCAGCGUAGAUCCUUCGGGGUUAGAUACAUUUGUGCUAAGUUAUAGCCUUUCAUAGACAACUUGUUGACUAUGAUCAGUCAUGUAGCUUACUCGCUUAUGCUAUUUUACCUACGCUUAGGAUGUUGAUGUGAUACUGCGAGC